rnacentral:rRNA from 1 species
AACUCAAAGGAAUUGACGGGGGCCCGCACAAGCGGAGGAGCAUGUGGUUUAAUUCGAUGAUACGCGAGGAACCUUACCUGGGCUCGAACGUAAGAUGACUGUAGGUGAAAGCUUACAUCUCUUCGGAGCAUUUUACGAGGUGCUGCAUGGUUGUCGUCAGCUCGUGCCGUGAGGUGUCGGGUUAAGUCCCAUAACGAGCGCAACCCCUACCUUUAGUUGCCAUCAGGUAAUGCUGGGGACUCUAAAGGAACUGCCUACGCAAGUAGUGAGGAAGGCGGGGAUGACGUCAAAUCAGCACGGCCCUUACGUCCAGGGCUACACACGUGUUACAAUGGCCAGUACAGAGGGCAGCCACCCCGCGAGGGGGCGCUAAUCCUAAAAGCUGGUCCCAGUUCGGAUCGGAGUCUGCAACCCGACUCCGUGAAGCUGGAUUCGCUAGUAAUCGCGCAUCAGCCACGGCGCGGUGAAUACGUUCCCGGGCCUU